UAUGAGGGGAACCGCCUGAACUGAAACAUCUAAGUAGGGCGAGGAAGAGAAAUCAACUGAGAUUCCGUAAGUAGUGGCGAGCGAACGCGGAAGAGGCCAAACCGAGAGUAGUAAUACUUUCGGGGUUCGGACAGAAAACGGUAUUGUAAAGGUUUAGUGGAAUGGAAUGGGAAGUCCAACCGAAGAAGGUGAGAGUCCUGUACACGAAAAGCCUGAACAGCCAUCUGUAUCCAGAGUACCGCCGGACACGUGAAACCCGGUGGGAAUACGGGGGGACCAUCCUCCAAGCCUAAAUACUACUCGGUGACCGAUAGUGAAGAAGUACUGUGAAGGAAAGGUGAAAAGUACCCCUGACGGGGAGUGAAAAAGAACCUGAAACCUUGUGUUUACAAGCACCGAAAGCUCAUCAAAGAGCGAUCGGGUACCUUUUGUAGAAUGGUCCGGCGAGUGAAUGUAACCGGCGAGGUUAAGCACUUAAGGUGUGAAGCCGCAGCGAGAGCAAGUCUGAAUAGGGCGUAUGAAGUCGGUUGUAUUCGACCCGAAACCGGGUGACCUACCCAUGGUCAGGUUGAAGUAAAGGUAAAACUUUAUGGAGGACCGAACCGACUCCCGUUGAAAUGGUAGCGGAUGAACUGUGGGUAGCGGAGAAAUUCCAAUCGAACCCGGAGAUAGCUGGUUCUCUCCGAAAUAGCUUUAGGGCUAGCCUUGAAAUAGAUUACCGGAGGUAAAGCACUGAAUUGGCUAGGGGCCGAGAGGUUACUGAACCUUAUCAAACUAAGAAUGCCGGAUAAUCGUUUUUCAGGAGUCAGACAGUGGGAGAUAAGUUUCAUUGUCAAAAGGGAAACAGCCCAGACCCACAGCUAAGGUCCCCAAGUAUAGUUAAGUGGAAAAGGAUGUGGAAUUGCACAGACAACCAGGAUGUUGGCUUAGAAGCAGCCACUCAUUAAAAGAGUGCGUAAUAGCUCACUGGUCGAGUGACUCUGCGCCGAAAAUUUAACGGGGCUAAACUAUACACCGAAGCUUGGGAUACAUCUAAUGUAUGGUAGGAGAGCGUUCUGUAUGGGGAGAAGUCGUAGCGAAAGCGGCGGUGGACUAUACAGAAGUGAGAAUGCCGGAAUAAGUAGCGAGAAUUAAGUGAGAAUCUUAAUGGCCGAAAGUCUAAGGUUUUUGGAGGAAGGUUCGUCCGCUCCAAGUAAGUCGGGAGCUAAGGUCAGGCCGAAAGGCGUAGCCGAUGCACAUACGGUUGAUAUUCCGUAACCAUCUGUAAUUUAAGCAAAGGGACACUUCAAAAGGGUGUGACCCGGGCGUUGGUUGACCCGGGCGUAAGGGACCGAAAUUAGAGUAGGGAAGCACACUUAGCUGAAGGCGAGAAAAGCUUUGCGUAUAGAAACAGAUGCCCGUACCGCAAACCGACACAGGUGGACAGGAAGAGAAUUCUAAGGCCAGCGGGAGAAGGGUAGUUAAGGAACUCGGCAAAUUGACUCCGUAACUUCGGAAUAAGGAGUGCUCGAAAGAGCCGCAGAGAAUAGGCCCAGGCGACUGUUUAGCAAAAACACAGGUCUCUGCCAAAUCGAAAGAUGAAGUAUAGGGGCUGACACCUGCCCGGUGCCGGAAGGUUAAGAGGAGGAGUGAGAGCUCCGAAUUGAAGCCCCGGUAAACGGCGGCCGUAACUAUAACGGUCCUAAGGUAGCGAAAUUCCUUGUCGGGUAAGUUCCGACCCGCACGAAUGGUGUAACGAUCUGGGCACUGUCUCAACUACCCACCCGGCGAAAUUGUAGUACCGGUGAAGAUGCCGGUUACCUGCGGCAAGACGGAAAGACCCCAUGGAGCUUUACUGUAGCCUGAUAUUGGGUUUCGGAAAUCUAUGUACAGGAUAGGCGGGAGACUAGGAAACAUGAGCGUCAGCUUGUGUGGAGUCGAUGUUGGGAUACCGCCCUUAGGUUUCUGGAAUUCUAACCUGCGGCCGUGAAUCCGGUCGGGGGACAUUGUCAGGUGGGCAGUUUGACUGGGGCGGUCGCCUCCGAAAAGGUAACGGAGGCGCUCAAAGGUUAGCUCAGCACGGACGGAAACCGUGCCUCUGAGUGUAAACGCAAAAGCUAGCCUAACUGCGAGGGUGACGGCCCGAGCAGUAACGAAAGUUGGAGUUAGUGAUCCGGCGGUAUGUGAAUGGAAAUGCCGUCGCUCA
rnacentral:rRNA from 1 species